rnacentral:rRNA from 1 species
AGAGUUUGAUCAUGGCUCAGGAUGAACGCUGGCGGCGUGCCUAAUACAUGCAAGUCGAGCGGUAAGGCUCUGCACUCAGCAUUUGAUCGUUGCAGCUUCGGCUGCAGGAUCGGACCAAUUCAAACCUAGGCUAGGGGAGAUGCGGCGAGAAAGAUCGAAUUAUGAGUGUAGAGUACACGAGCGGCGGACGGCUGAGUAACACGUAGGAACAUACCCCAAAGUGAGGGAUAACUGCUCGAAAGAGUAGCUAAUACCGCAUGUGGUCUUCGGAUUAAAGCUUCGGCGCUUUGGGAAUGGCCUGCGCAUGAUUAGCUUGUUGGUGAGGUAAUGGCUCACCAAGGCGACGAUCAUUAGCUGGUCUGAGAGGAUGAUCAGCCAGACUGGGACUGAGACACGGCCCAGACUCCUACGGGAGGCAGCAGUAGGGAAUUUUCCACAAUGGGCGAAAGCCUGAUGGAGCAACGCCGCGUGCAGGAUGAAUGCCUUCGGGUUGUAAACUGCUUUAUAUGUGACGAAUAUGACGGUAGCAUAUGAAUAAGGAUCGGCUAACUCCGUGCCAGCAGCCGCGGUCAUACGGAGGAUCCAAGCGUUAUCCGGAAUUACUGGGCGUAAAGAGUUGCGUAGGUGGCAUAGUAAGCAAGUAGUGAAAGCGUGUGGCUCAACCAUACUCCAUUAUUUGAACUGCUAAGCUAGAGGAUGAGAGAGGUUAUUGGAAUUCCCAGUGUAGGAGUGAAAUCCGCAGAUAUUGGGAGGAACACCGAUGGCGUAGGCAGAUAACUGGCUCAUUCCUGACACUAAGGCACGAAAGCGUGGGGAGCAAACGGGAUUAGAUACCCUAGUAGUCC